CAAACUCAACAACUAAGGAAAUAUUUGCAGCAGAAAGCAAAAAUUAAUAUUUAAGAUGAUUGUUUCUUUUCAAGCGACAGACAAAAGGCUACAGAGGCCUAUGAACAGAAAGGGGAUUAAUGUAAGAAAUAGAAUGGUCAGACUCCUAGACUGUUAAUUUGACAAUUAUUAACAGCUUUAUCUAUGUUCAUAAAAAAAUCCUGUGGAAGUGGAUUUCUUUCCCACUCAGAAACAGUAAUGCUUCAGACUGAAGUUUAAGCAUAUUUCAUUUAUAAAUUUCUAAACCAAAUUAAUUUAAUCCACAACCAAGAUUACAAUAAUUCCUACCACUUCCUCUAAGACAGAGGAAUGUUUUUCAUCAAUAAAUAUUGAGGCAGAGUAAUGAUCUAAGGUAGGGUGAAUGUUAAAAAGUAAGAUGCUUAUGGUUUAUGGGUGUGAACACAGUUGAAGUAAUCUUAGUAUUAUAAGGGUUAUAAAAAAUAUAAUAAGAAAUAAUACUAUAAUACUAUAAUAUAAUAAUAAAUACAUAUAGUAUUUAUUGUCACAGGGAUAAUAGCUAGCAACAGGUGCUUCUCAUCUCUACGUUAGGCAUCUGAGGGUCUGCAGGUGUCUUUGCAUACUGUAUGGGAGGAAAUACUCACUUUUCCAUAGUGACCACUGUCCAUUUCCAUCUUCAGUGUGAUUUCCACAGCAAGGUACUUGUUUUAUACAAAAGCUACUUCAGCUCAGUUUACUUUGCCUGAACUCUGGUUUUUCAGUACUUGUGAGCUGCAUGUCAUAGCAGCACUCAGUGAUAUUAACCUAUAGUUUAUUGGUUCAGCACUCAUCAAUCAAACCUUGUCCACAUCCUCUCUACAAAGAAAGGAAAAGGAAAUGGAGAUGUGCUUCCUCUGAGAGUGUCUCCACCUGUGUUGCUAUAACUGGCAAGAGAGCAACUGUCAGCCAUCACUGAGAUGCAUUACUUUUAUUGGCCCUAUUAACAGAGCCGUACCUGCUUCAUUUUUGUUGACUGCCUCUGUGCUCAUGCAAGAAUUGGUGGAUGUGGUGCACACCAAAUACUUCCAGCCAACCUUACAGGAUUUUGUCAGCACUGAGAAUGGUCCCCGACACCUGAAGCAGGAGGGUCGUUCAGAAAAAGCUCCCUGAACUUUGAACCAUAUCUGCAAAGUGAGAUAAACAAGAGCCAUAUAAAUACCACAGCUCUUUUCCCCACACUGUUUCCUUCUGCAGCAGAGCCAGGCAGAGCUGCCAAGAAGGGGGAGGAGGAAAGGGUAAGUGUGCUGGAUUUGCUGUGAAAGAGCUUCAUGACUUAAGAUUUGGCAGAGUGUUUGCUUGUUUCUUUAGCUGAAAAGGCUGACUGUGGAAAUUUCCAUCGGAAACUAAGUUGAAACUUGAAAUAUGAAGUAUAAGACAUGGCUCUCCUGCAGCUCACAGGGCAGACAGCUGUUGCUGGGUGCUGCAUGCCAGUGCUGCAGAAGGCUGCUGUAAAGACAAGAAAGGAUAUCAAAAUGUCGUGAGAGUCUCAUGUGCUCAUAAUAGUUAAAAAGGAAGGCUGC
ensembl:lncRNA